rnacentral:lncRNA from 10 species
AUGUCUGAUAAAAAUUUGUUUGUAUUUUUUGUAGAUGGGGUUUCGCCAUGUUGCCCAGGAUGAUCUUGAACUCCCAGGCUCCUCCUACCUUGGCCUCCCAAAGUGCUGAGAUUACAGAUACCCACAACAGGUGAAGGAGAGAAAGCAGUCCCACAGACACCCUUCUCUGCUGGAAAGUCCUUCCUAUCUGACUCCAGUCCCACUUGCUGGAGGAGUUCCCCUCAUUUUGUUUCUGAGACAGCCUUCUUCUGUGUAACAACUAUUCAGAGACUUGAAAUCUGCCUCUCUGGUUUCUUCUGUCUUUGCAAAUGUCACAUUAAAGAGAAC